rnacentral:rRNA from 1 species
AGUGAACGCUGGCGGCAGGCCUAACACAUGCAAGUCGAACGGCAGCACAGUAAGUGCUUGCGCUUACGGGUGGCGAGUGGCGGACGGGUGAGGAAUAUAUCGGAAUCUACUUUUUCGUGGGGGAUAACGCAGGGAAACUUACGCUAAUACCGCAUACGACGUACGGGUGAAAGCAUGGGACCUUCUGACCUUGCGCGAGUGAAUGAGCCGAUGUCGGAUUAGCUAGUGGGCGGGGUAAAGGCCCACCAAGGCGACGAUCCGUAGCUGGUCUGAGAGGAUGAUCAGCCACACUGGAACUGAGACACGGUCCAGACUCCUACGGGAGGCAGCAGUGGGGAAUAUUGGACAAUGGGCGCAAGCCUGAUCCAGCCAUACCGCGUGGGUGAAGAAGGCCUUCGGGUUGUAAAGCCCUUUUGUUGGGAAAGAAGAGCAGUAGGUUAAUACCCCGCUGUUCUGACGGUACCCAAAGAAUAAGCACCGGCUAACUUCGUG